AUUAGGUCCUCUGGAUUGUAAACUUCUUUUAUAUGGGACGAAAAAAGGUCUUUCUAGACCCCUUGACGGUACCAUAUGAAUAAGCACCGGCUAACUCCGUGCCAGCAGCCGCGGUAAUACGGAGGGUGCAAGCGUUAUCCGGAUUCACCGGGUUUAAAGGGUGCGUAGGCGGGCAGGUAAGUCAGUGGUGAAAUCCUGGAGCUCAACUCCAGAACUGCCAUUGAUACUAUCUGUCUUGAAUAUUGUGGAGGUAAGCGGAAUAUGUCAUGUAGCGGUGAAAUGCUUAGAUAUGACAUAGAACACCCAUUGCGAAGGCAGCUUACUACGCAUAUAUUGACGC
rnacentral:rRNA from 1 species